UCCCUGGUAGCUCAGAUGGUAAAGCAUCUGCCUACAAUGCAGGAGAAUCAGGUUCAAUCCCUGGGUUGGGAA
rnacentral:tRNA from 1 species